GACGAACGCUGGCGGCGUGCUUAACACAUGCAAGUCGAACGGAAAGGCCCUGCUUUUGUGGGGUGCUCGAGUGGCGAACGGGUGAGUAACACGUGAGUAACCUGCUCUUGACUUUGGGAUAACUUCAGGAAACUGGGGCUAAUACCGGAUAGGAGCUCCUGCUGCAUGGUGGGGGUUGGAAAGUUUCGGCGGUUGGGGAUGGACUCGCGGCUUAUCAGCUUGUUGGUGGGGUAGUGGCUUACCAAGGCUUUGACGGGUAGCCGGCCUGAGAGGGUGACCGGCCACAAUGGGACUGAGAUACGGCGCAGACUCCUACGGGAGGCAGCAGUGGCGAAUAUUGCACAAUGGGCGGAAGCCUGAUGCAGCAACGCCGCGUGCGGAAUGACGGCCUUCGGGUUGUAAACCGCUUUCGCCUGUGACGAAGCGGGAGUGACGGUAAUGGGUAAAGAAGCACCGGCUAACUACGUG
rnacentral:rRNA from 1 species